UGGGGAAUAUUGGACAAUGGGCGAAAGCCUGAUCCAGCCAUGCCGCGUGAGUGACGAAGGCCUUAGGGUUGUAAAGCUCUUUUGGCGGGGAAGAUAAUGACGGUACCCGCAGAAUAAGCUCCGGCUAACUUCGUGCCAGCAGCCGCGGUAAUACGAAGGGAGCUAGCGUUGUUCGGAAUCACUGGGCGUAAAGCGCACGUAGGCGGAUUUGCCAGUCAGGGGUGAAAUCCCGGGGCUCAACCUCGGAACUGCCUUUGAUACAGCAAGUCUUGAGUUCGAGAGAGGUGGGUGGAAUUCCUAGUGUAGAGGUGAAAUUCGUAGAUAUUAGGAAGAACACCGGUGGCGAAGGCGGCCCACUGGCUCGAUACUGACGCUGAGGUGCGAAAGCGUGGGGAGCAAACAGGAUUAGAUACCCCUGUAGUCC
rnacentral:rRNA from 1 species